UAACACAUAUUCACCUACUCAAAUGUUUAUCGGCCCUUUCUAAAGCAACUUUAUUUUAGUUUUGGGCAAGGCUGCCGAGCCGAAGAUGACCCAUUCGAGUAACAGCUGGAAAAAGCAAAAACAUGAAAUACUGAAGGUUUGGGGUCGACCUCGAUGCCCUCGCCAUAGAAGACGGGGAGCAUACGAGUCCUGGGGUCUGUUCCUGUGGUGUUGAGCAGCAGAUGUGGAGCGUGUAGACAAUAUAAAGACAUGUUGAGAGCAGCUGCUAAGCAGGCUGAAGAAGACGUUGAGAAGUUUGACUGCUCUUUGGCUGCGAGUUCAUCAUCACCUCAAGUCACUUUUAAAGACUUUAUUAGGGAGACUAAACCACGCUUCUUAAUAUUUGGAUCCGAUGUUUGGUUAUCAACUACUGAGUGAUAUUAGGGGUGUCCAAGGCUUGUUUUUUUUUACUGGUCCUUGAUAGGUGUUGGUUGUCACAAUCAUUAUACAGUAUCUAAUUUACGCAAUAA